UUUUUUGUACCUAGAUUAAAUGCCCCGGUGAUGCCAUGUCUCUAGGGAGAGGUUGUGCUGCCUACAGUAUCUUUUGUCAGGAGUUUUUUUACUUUCUUAAUAUCAUCAUAUUUCUUCUUUUUACAACCCUUUGCAAAUUUCCUUCCUUCCCUUCAUUGAUAUCUUUUAACUAGUGUGGUGAUGUGUUUAGUUAACAUUAAGCCAACCCAUAGAUAUUUGGAUCACUUAAUCUUCCCUAACCUAGAAGUCCUUUCAGUUUUCUUGUUACUCCUCAUCUAUUCUAGUCACACUAGAUAGCUUGUCAGUAUCUUUUUUAGCUAUGAGAUUCUAAAGAUACGAUACAUUUCUAUAAACUAGCAACAGAUCUGAUGUACAGCUGAGCACCAUUCAUGUCUCCUCACUGAAAAUCUUUCCUGAUGUGCCCAGAGGAAAGCUGCCAGCAUUCUGAACAGGCAUACAGGAACGUUUCAGCUACCUGCAGCCUCAUCCGAUGACGUUUAAUGAUAUCAGCUAGCUUGAUCUUCCUCCAUGCACCAGCAGGGACUUCUUUAAAUUGCUCAACUGUAUGGAACACUGUUUUCAAGUUUAAUGUACUUGGAAUUGACCUUUUAAAGUAAUGGUAUUUCUAAACACAGUUUAAAUACAGUUUAAAUACAUAGCACACACAUAUGUUUGCAUUUAUAUGUGCAUGUGUGUGUACGCCUAUAUAUAUAUAUAUGUAAGUGCACACAUAUGUAUAGAAAUGCUGAUCCUAUUCACCUUUUUAAAAUCAUUACAGCUAGUAUUAACAUGAAUGUGCUGUUAAAUUGGCAGUGUUAUACAUUUUUGUUGGAGUUUACUUCUGUAACAUAAAACCAGAAAGAUAAGCUGUGAAACUCGUGCAGCUGAUGACAUAAUCCUAGAAUCUCAUGAUGCUGAAUCUCAUAUUGCUAGGAGUGUGGGAUGGAUGUUCUUUGCUGAAAUAAUUAUACUGUCUCUUGCAAUAUAUGUUUCCUUGUUUUCAUGUGGGUGCUGAGAAGUCCAAACCAUUAAACAUAAAUGGUACAAUGA